rnacentral:rRNA from 1 species
UGGGCAAUUGGGGGCAGUCUAACCAUGCAGUCGAGCGGAUGCAGUGGAGCUUGCUCCUUGUAUUCAGCGGCGGACGGGUGAGUAAUGCCUAGGAAUCUGCCUGGUAGUGGGGGACAACGUUUCGAAAGGAACGCUAAUACCGCAUACGUCCUACGGGAGAAAGUGGGGGAUCUUCGGACCUCACGCUAUCAGAUGAGCCUAGGUCGGAUUAGCUAGUUGGUGAGGUAAAGGCUCACCAAGGCGACGAUCCGUAACUGGUCUGAGAGGAUGAUCAGUCACACUGGAACUGAGACACGGUCCAGACUCCUACGGGAGGCAGCAGUGGGGAAUAUUGGACAAUGGGCGAAAGCCUGAUCCAGCCAUGCCGCGUGUGUGAAGAAGGUCUUCGGAUUGUAAAGCACUUUAAGUUGGGAGGAAGGGCAGUAAGCUAAUACCUUGCUGUUUUGACGUUACCGACAGAAUAAGCACCGGCUAACUUCGUGCCAGCAGCCGCGGUAAUACGAAGGGUGCAAGCGUUAAUCGGAAUUACUGGGCGUAAAGCGCGCGUAGGUGGUUCGUUAAGUUGGAUGUGAAAGCCCCGGGCUCAACCUGGGAACUGCAUCCAAAACUGGCGAGCUAGAGUAUGGCAGAGGGUGGUGGAAUUUCCUGUGUAGCGGUGAAAUGCGUAGAUAUAGGAAGGAACACCAGUGGCGAAGGCGACCACCUGGGCUAAUACUGACACUGAGGUGCGAAAGCGUGGGGAGCAAACAGGAUUAGAUACCCUGGUACUCCACGCCGUAAACGAUGUCGACUAGCCGUUGGGAUCCUUGAGAUCUUAGUGGCGCAGCUAACGCAUUAAGUCGACCGCCUGGGGAGUACGGCCGCAAGGUUAAAACUCAAAUGAAUUGACGGGGCCCGCACAAGCGGUGGAGCAUGUGUUUUAAUUCGAAGCAACGCGAAGAAUCCUUACCACGUCUUGACAUGCAGAGACUUCAGAAGAUGAUGUGCGUCGGUACUCUGACACAGAUGACUGCAUGGCUGUCGUCAGCUCUGUCUGAAAUGUGGAUUAGUCCGUAACAGACGACACCUUGUUCUUAUUACACACGUAAGGUGGUCAUCUCUCAGAUAACUGCGGUUACACGAGAACGUGGAUA